rnacentral:lncRNA from 1 species
AGAAAGAGUCACGGAGACCAAGAGUUUGGCUCCUUAGCUGCUACUCUGGGUGGGAAUUACAAAUAUCUGGACAUUCUUGCCAGGGUCUAAAAUUCCGGCACUCAAGACAAGGCACGAGAGCUUGCGGCUCCAGUUUUCCCCCUCACCCAGGAACACCACAGGGCUUCCACUCUCUGAACACCCUGGAGACACUGCUUCUUAACAACACGUCUCAGUGAUCCUUCUCCAUUCUUGUUCUGAAGAUUCCACCUUGCUGAAUCCUGUACAAUGAAUUACUCCUCAAUAUGAUUCCAUCAACAAGUGUUCUGUGAUGGUUGGUUUUAUGUCAGUUUGGGUAGACUAUAGUAUCCAGUUAUUUAAUCAAACAGUAAUCUACGCAUUUCUCUGAAGGCAUUUGGUGUGGUUAACAUCUACAAUAGGUGACUUUAAGUAAAAGAGAUGACCC